AUGACGCGUGGUAAUUUAUGAAACAGGUGAAAAAAAUUACUCAGGUGUGUUAGUUCUGUUUGUGAUUGUAGGUAUGUACGUAUGCACUUGUGUUCAGCGUUGGUUUUCUGUUGUAAAUAUAAUGACCUGCGAGAUGUUUUCUUGCGAUCUGAAACAAUAUUCGCAGGAAAUUUUUGUGGCAGUGGUUAUCGCAACAGCUCUUCUCACGUUGCUCGCUAAUUACAGAAAUAUCGACACCUAUGCAUAAUAGGCUACGUACCUAAUCAAUGGAUUUUUCAUUUAUAUUUGGAAUCGUAAAAAUAGCUGAAUAUUCCCCUGGUUCGAAAAUACACAAAAAUUGUAAUUCACCAUAAAGCAUCGAUUUCACGGAUCCCAUUUCAUUGUAAUAAUAAUACGAUGGAAAAAUACAGCCCAAGAUAAACAACCUCCAGGAGAAAAUUUUUUGCGCAUAUCUAAUUUCGAACGGAUGCUGCAGAAAUUUAUACAAUAAAGAAUGCAUUUCAAGUUUCAAGAUGGCAAUUAUUUUACCGGGCAGGGGGUUCGUACUGUGGUUGAUAGACGUAUUGAUAGAGUAAUGAGGUAGUAUUAUUGAAUGAGCGACUCAGCUUGACUUCAUGUCACUGAAAGUUCCCAAGUACGGUUAAUUACAUCGUGGUCUUUUAAAUUAUUAUCAAGAGGGUCGAUAUCGAACCUUCUCAACCGGCUUAAACAGAUAUGUUUUUGACAGCUUUUCAUACUUUAACUCUUGCACUCUGUAUUUCGCUGUUUAUUGUAUGUUUUUGUUGUUUUUCCUUUCGUACUGUGUGUGCAUUUUUUUUAGUAUUUUGUUUUGUUUAUUUAACUUUUUAAGAGUAGCUAUUAUUUAAACGAUGGUAUAAAUUAUAUAAACAUCGACGUAUUUUUCGGUUUUUAUAAACGAGUAAAUUAGUAAGUUGGGGUAUGAUCGAUGAGAAUAUAUUAGGAGGAUGAAGUUGAUAUGCCUACCGAAUGUAUUUUUAUAUAUUUGAAGAUAUUUUAGCAAUAAACAUUGUUUCCAAAAAUUUAAUAAUACGACUUUAUUAUAAAAAAAAGCACUGUGGCAUGAAUCUCAUAUCUUAUAUUUUAUUGUAGUCUAUACCUACUAAGAGUGCUAUGUAUUAUUAUUAUAUAAGCUUUCUAGCGUAACGUAAGUUGAAAUAUUUACAUUUAGGAUAUAAACGACAGCGUACGUUCAAUUGAACUUGGCAAAUAAAGACGUUUAUUCGUCACAUCUCGUAUAUUUUUUCACCCCAUCUGUGGCACACGUAUGAUACGAGUAUAUUACGAGUAUUUUUUUAUUGUUAAUUGAUUUAUUGUAAAUGUAUUAAAUCGUUGGUAGCGCGAAUAAAAUGUUAGGUACCUAGUUGUUUAUA